CCUUUUUCAGGGGAAACGAUUAAAAGGGAAUCAGGUGAGAAUCCUGAACAGUCCCGCUGCUGUAAGUUUCAUUGCAAUACCGAGAGCAAUAACCAUUGCCACUGAACACAAAUUCGGGAAGGCGCUAUCGGUCGAAACAAGUCAGAAGACCUGCCGUACAUAUA
rnacentral:ncRNA from 1 species